rnacentral:rRNA from 1 species
AUUGAACGCUGGCGGUAGGCCUAACACAUGCAAGUCGAACGGCAGCACAGUAAUAGCUUGCUCUUACGGUUGGCGAGUGGCGAACGGGUGAGGAAUACAUCGGAAUCUACUUUUUCGUAGGGGAUAACGUAGGGAAACUUACGCUAAUACCGCAUACGACCUACUGGUGAAAUCAGGGGAUCUUCGGACCUUGCGCGAUUGAAUGAGCCGAUGUCGGAUUAGCUAGUUGGCGUGGUAAAGGCCCACCAAGGCGACGAUCCGUAGCUGGUCUGAGAGGAUGAUCAGCCACAGUGGAACUGAGACACGGUUCAGACUCCUACGGGAGGCAGCAGUGGGGAAUAUUGAACAAUGGGCGAAAGCCUGAUACAGCCAUACCGCGUGGGUGAAGAAGGCCUUCGGGUUGUAAAGCCCUUUUGUUGGGAAAGAAAAGCAGCAGGUUAAUACCCCGCUGUGCUGACGGUACCCAAAGAAUAAGCACCGGCUAACUUCGUG